UCCUUCGGGAGUUGUAAUUUGAAGGUGAGAUGGCGACUUCAAGUCUGGCUAAAGUCCCUUGGAACAGGGCGCCUUAGAGGGUGAGAGCCCCGUACAACCAGUUCUUGAAGUCAUAUGCUUUCUCUCCAAAGAGUCGAGUUGUUUGGGAAUGCAGCUCAAAGUGGGUGGUAAAUUCCAUCUAAAGCUAAAUACCGGCGAGAGACCGAUAGCGAACAAGUACCGUGAGGGAAAGAUGAAAAGCACUUUGAAAAGAGAGUGAAACAGUACGUGAAAUUGUUGAAAGGGAAGGGCUUGCAAGCAGACACAACCCUCGUGGUUGGGCCAGCAUCGGUUGCUAGGGGUGGAUAAGGCGGCGGGAAUGUAGCUUCCUCGGAAGUAUUAUAUCCCGCUGAGAUACACCCACCGGCGA
rnacentral:rRNA from 1 species